rnacentral:rRNA from 1 species
UACGAAGGGGGCUAGCGUUGCUCGGAAUCACUGGGCGUAAAGCGCACGUAGGCGGACUCUUAAGUCGGUGGUGAAAUCCUGGAGCUCAACUCCAGAACUGCCUUUGAUACAGCAAGUCUUGAGUUCGAGAGAGGUGGGUGGAAUUCCUAGUGUAGAGGUGAAAUUCGUAGAUAUUCGGAGGAACACCAGUGGCGAAGGCGGCUCACUGGCUCGGUACUGACGCUGAGGUGGACG